GGCGGCGUCGGUAAAGCUUGUUGGAUUUUGUUUUAUUUGUAAAGUUAUUUACGACAAGGAAAACCAGAAAGUUUCCACAUUUGGUGUAAACAAAACUAAUUUGGAAUCUUGGCAGCAAAAAGUAGGCGGAAUUACUGUUGGGGACAGAUUGUGUGAAAAACAUUUUGCUCCACAUGAUGUUAUUAAAGGAUCUUUUGUGCUGGACUAUUUUUGUCCUUACAAAAGGUGGAGGCUUGCUGAAAAUGCAAUCCCACAAUACUUCCUCACAUCACAGAAACCAAAGAAGCGUAAAGCACUAGUCGACAAAAUUGAAAAUUUGUCUGGAUUUAAAACAAAGCACAGAGAUGCAAAGGUUAUUCCAAAUCAGUCUCCCAGACUAACAACCAGACCAAAGCAGAAAACAACCAAGAAACCCGCAGAAGAAACAAUAAUUAUCAAUCAAGAUACGGCAAGUGCUGCAUCACCUCAUUGUAUUGGUAGUUCCCCUACAUUUGGUAAAGUAAAUAUUCAUUUAAUUUAAAUAUAAUUAAUAGACAUUGUUGCUUACGGGCUAAUGGAAAUUGAUGCUGUUGGUGGAGAUCUUAGAAUGGAGACUACGAUAAAUAUGGAUUCCAUUAUAUCAUCAUCAGUCCAACUAGACACUGAUGAUGUCGUAUUUGAUCCGUCUCUUUCAUUGUUUUGUUCCUCUCUGUCAACGUCAGGUGUGACUGUGUAUUAACCUAGUUCAUCAACGACCAACAACCAAUCUUUUGAAGAUGUCUCUGCCCUCGGUAUACAGCACACAACCCUAGCAAAUAUCUUGCGGGGCAAAACCAGUUUUUCCCGGGUAUUUUUCACCAGUUUUAAGAUGAAACCCCGUGGUUUACCCCUGGUGAAUAACCGCUUGUUUGCGUGCGGAAAACGGUUUAAAACUAGUAUUUAUAACCGUUUUAGAACCCACCUUCCAUAUAAUACUGAGAGGUAGUACAGUGAGCAAAAAGGUGAAGAAAAUCGGUAUUUUACUGGUGGUAACUACGAUUUAUAAACCAACCUUCCGUAAGAAAAAAAGAGGUAACACAGCGAGCAAUAAGGUGAGAAAAACCGGUAAUUUUCUGGUAGUAACUACGACUUAUGAACUAGAAUUUAAAAAUGGUUCCAGGUACCCUACUUUUUAAAACUACUGAGCUUCCCCUU
rnacentral:lncRNA from 1 species